rnacentral:rRNA from 1 species
UGGGGAAUCUUCCGCAAUGGGCGAAAGCCUGACGGAGCAAUGCCGCGUGAGUGAAGAAGGCCUUCGGGUUGUAAAACUCUGUCCUAAUCGAAGAGAGAGGUGAGAAGUAACUGACUUACCUAGGACGGUAGAUUAGGAGGAAGCCCCGGCUAACUAUGUGCCAGCAGCCGCGGUAAAACAUAGGGGGCAAGCGUUGUCCGGAAUCACUGGGCGUAAAGGGCGCGCAGGCGGUAUAUUAAGUCAGGUGUGAAAGUUCGGGGCUCAACCCCGUGAUUGCACCUGAUACUGAUAAACUAGAGUGUUGGAGAGGUAAGUGGAAUUCCUAGUGUAGCGGUGGAAUGCGUAGAUAUUAGGAGGAACACCAGUGGCGAAGGCGACUUACUGGCCAAUAACUGACGCUGAGGCGCGAAAGCGUGGGGAGCAAACAGGAUUAGAUACCCUGGUAGUCCACGCCGUAAACGAUGAGUACUAGGUGUUGGUUGUUUCGAUACAAUCGGUGCCGUAGUUAACACAAUAAGUACUCCGCCUGGGGAGUACGGUCGCAAGACU